GAUAAGAAAAGGAAGACUUAGAGAACCUUAUCUGUCGCUCGUUCACAUAUAGGUACUAUGUACUAAUAGUUUGGUUACGAAAUGGAUGUUUCGAAAGGUUGGCUCAUACUGACACUGUUCUGUGGAUACCUUACUGGUGUCUGGUCCAUAGCCUGUUUAGACUGUGGGAAUGGCGUAGAAUCGCUGUCACAAUGCAACACAUUCAAGGAAUGUGGACCAACUGAGGCGUGCUACAUAGAGAGAUAUAUAAACCUUGGCUCAGGAGUUCAGCAGUACAAAGCAGGAUGCCGGGAUGUGGAG